CGCAAGCCUGACGGAGCAAGACCGCGUGGGGGAGGAAUGCCUUAGGGUUGUAAACCCCUUUUAUCUGGGAAGAACAAAAUGACGGUACCAGAUGAAUAAGCAUCGGCUAACUCCGUGCCAGCAGCCGCGGUAAGACGGAGGAUGCAAGUGUUAUCCGGAAUCACUGGGCGUAAAGCGUCUGUAGGUGGUCAAAUAAGUCAACUGUUAAAUCUUGAGGCUCAACCUCAAAAUCGCAGUCGAAACUAUUAGACUAGAGUAUAGUAGGGGUAAAGGGAAUUUCCAGUGGAGCGGUGAAAUGCGUAGAGAUUGGAAAGAACACCGAUGGCGAAGGCACUUUACUGGGCUAUUACUAACACUCAGAGACGAAAGCUAGGGUAGCA
rnacentral:rRNA from 1 species